UACGUAGGUGGCGAAGCGUUGUCCGGAAUUAUUGGGCGUAAAGCGCGCGCAGGUGGUUUCUUAAGUCUGAUGUGAAAGCCCACGGCUCAACCGUGGAGGGUCAUUGGAAACUGGGGAACUUGAGUGCAGGAGAGAAGAGUGGAAUUCCACGUGUAGCGGUGAAAUGCGUAGAGAUCCGGAAGAACACCGGUGGCGAAGGCGGCCUGCUGGGCUAUGGCUGACACUGAGGCGCGACAGCGUGGGGAGCAAACAGG
rnacentral:rRNA from 1 species